rnacentral:rRNA from 1 species
CCCUUAGAUGUUCUGGGCUGCACGCGCGCUACACUGACGCACGCAACAGGUGCCUGCUCCGGGAGGACUGGGUAAUCAUUUGAGUGUGCGUCGUGAUGGGGAUAGAAUAUUGUAAUUAUUACUCUUCAACGAGGAAUUCCUAGUAAGCGCAAGUCAGCAGCUUGCGCUGAUUACGUCCCUGCCCUUUGUACACACCGCCCGUCGCUCCUACCGAUGGGUGAUCCGGUGAAUGAUUCGGACUUCAGCGGCUCCUCUGGGGUGCGCCGGAGAAAGUUUUGUGAACCUUAUCACUUGGAGGAAGGAGAAGUCGUAACA